rnacentral:snRNA from 1 species
GUGCUCGCUUUGGCAGCAUAUAUGCUAAAAUUGGAAUGAUAUGGAGAAGAUGAACAUGGCUCCUACACGAGGAUGACACGCAAAUUCAUGAAGCGUUCUAUAUUUGG